AUGAAGCCGGAAUUGCUAGUAAUGGCAGGUCAGCAUACUGCCGUGAAUACGUUCCCGGGCCUUGUACACACCGCCCGUCACACCAUGAGAGUUGGAGAUACCCGAAGCCUAUGGGCUAACUUUUAGAGGCAGUAGUCGAAGGUAGAAUCAAUGAUUGGGGUGAAGUCGUAACAAGGUACC
rnacentral:rRNA from 1 species